rnacentral:rRNA from 1 species
UUGAACGCUGGCGGCAGGCCUAACACAUGCAAGUCGAGCGGAUGAAGGGAGCUUGCUCCUGGAUUCAGCGGCGGACGGGUGAGUAAUGCCUAGGAAUCUGCCUGGUAGUGGGGGAUAACGUCCGGAAACGGGCGCUAAUACCGCAUACGUCCUGAGGGAGAAAGUGGGGGAUCUUCGGACCUCACGCUAUCAGAUGAGCCUAGGUCGGAUUAGCUAGUUGGUGGGGUAAAGGCCUACCAAGGCGACGAUCCGUAACUGGUCUGAGAGGAUGAUCAGUCACACGGGAACUGAGACACGGUCCAGACUCCUACGGGAGGAAGCAGUGGGGAAUAUUGGACAAUGGGCGAAAGCCUGAUCCAGCCAUGCCGCGUGUGUGAAGAAGGUCUUCGGAUUGUAAAGCACUUUAAGUUGGGAGGAAGGGCAGUAAGUUAAUACCUUGCUGUUUUGACGUUACCAACAGAAUAAGCACCGGCUAACUUCGUG